AUUGAACGCUGGCGGCAUGCCUUACACAUGCAAGUCGAACGGCAGCGCGGACUUCGGUCUGGCGGCGAGUGGCGAACGGGUGAGUAAUGUAUCGGAACGUACCUUUCAGUGGGGGAUAACGUAGCGAAAGUUACGCUAAUACCGCAUAUUCUGUGAGCAGGAAAGCAGGGGAUCGCAAGACCUUGCGCUGAUUGAGCGGCCGAUAUCAGAUUAGCUAGUUGGUGAGGUAAAGGCUCACCAAGGCGACGAUCUGUAGCGGGUCUGAGAGGAUGAUCCGCCACACUGGGACUGAGACACGGUCCAGACUCCUACGGGAGGCAGCAGUGGGGAAUUUUGGACAAUGGGGGCAACCCUGAUCCAGCCAUGCCGCGUGAGUGAAGAAGGCCUUCGGGUUGUAAAGCUCUUUUGUCAGGGAAGAAGCACCGGCUCUAACACAGUCCGGGAAUGACGGUACCUGAAGAAUAAGCACCGGCUAACUACGUGCCAGCCGCCGCGGUAA
rnacentral:rRNA from 1 species